GUACCUGGUUAAGACAUACUUGCCCUUUGGUUAAAAAAUGCCACCUCUCAUUUUGAGGGUUAAAAUGAGUCCAAAUAUUACUUUUUGGGACUAAAUUCUGACUUUGGCUAUCAUCUAACUAUUAGUUUCUUAUGCAGCUCUCUCUAUUGGUCAACUAAUGUACUAUUUGUCCUUUGGUUGCAUAUCACGGUUUCCCAUGCUGGCUCUGCUCCUCCUUUCUUAUGCGUAUCGUUUACACUUUCUCAUACCUACUUCUAAUAUCACAUAACAACCGUCUUUUUGAUAUCACCUCUCUCAUCUCUCUCAUCUCUUUCCUCAUCGUUUUCAGCUUAUUUCGUCUUUCCUUCGCUAUUUAGAUUUACAAAACACCGACGAUGAUGUUGUUGAUAUUUCGUUGUUGUUGCAGAUUUCGAGAAAUUGGAUUCAGUUGAUCUAAACUAUUUCAUCAACGAGUUGUUGAGAAGCUGCAUGGGUAGGUUACACCGUAACAAUCCGGCGAUGAUGUUGUUGAUAUUUUUUGUUUUUGAAGGUUUCGAGAAAUUGGAUCCGGUUGAUCUAUACCGUUUUAUCAACGAGUUGUUGAGAAGCUAAAUGGCAAGUAUGUCUGAAAUUCGAAGAUGGAAAAUACUGGAAAGUUAUGUUCAAGUUUAAGUAGCUGCUUGAUGGACAGAAUAUUGUAGAGCUAUUUUUUGAACAAAAGAGAAAUACAUUAGUUUCGUAACAUAAGUUAUUAUCGGGAGCUGCAAGGAAGUUUGUGCGUAACAAAAGCUUUGAAUGUAGGUCCUUCAUGAAGAUUUGAAUCGUGUUAAAUGUAAGCCUUAUGUUGAAGCCGAGGAUGGAGAUGGCCGGCCAGAUGAAGCAGUUGUUGAUGAAUAUUGACAUUAUCAUCUGGAUCGCAAUGAUUUAGUCGUUGUUGAUGUGUUCCAAGUAUGUAUUCAUCUCAUUUUAUGCAAUUAUUUACUUCACCAUGGCACAUACAUGAUAUCCAACGCUUCCAUGGCUUAAGGUUUGCACUGAGGAUGUUUCUUUUACAAAUCAUCUAUCUCCUGAAAAAGAUGGAGUUGGCUCAAGUAAAAACAAGCACUGGGCUUUCAAGAACUAUUGUUGAGGGAGGAUGACGAUGUUGGAUGGUUUGAGGUUGAGAAACAGUUUGAGAUUCUUACGAAUUCGAGGGAGGAUGGUUUGCUUCAUCGUUCUCUCUUUUAUGACAGGACACCGUGUUUGAUCCAGUUUCUCUAACUUGUGGUCAUAUAUUCUGUUACAUCUGUGCUUGCUCGGCUGCAUCGGUAUCUAUUGUCGAUGGACUUAAGGCCGCGAAUCCUAAAGAAAAAUGUCCUCUGUGCCGCGAGGUAAUAUUAACUAAGCUACAUGGCAAAUAAUUAAUUUGAAUAUUAUGAUAACAAGUUAAUUUGAAUCUUAUAAUAACAAAUUAAUUUGAAUUCUAUUCUGGAGAGGCAACCAGGCCAAUGUUAUAAGAUAUUUCCCCACACAAGUGAGUUAUUCAUCUCAUGGCAUUGUAAUUUUGAAAUGGUGAAAUAUACAUGUCAUUUUGUAUGUAAUUUUAAAGAAAAUAAAUUCCAAUAAAAUUAUCUACCUUAUUUACCUAUGUUUUAAUGCUGCAAACAUUCAUUUAGAAUAAGAACUCCUUCUUUUCCUUGAUGCAUUCUUUUAUAAAAAAAUUAUGCUGAAAACUCGAUCUGACAUCAAUUCUAUAUUAGUCCAGGUAUAAUUACAACAGCAGUUUGGGCUAUUAUUAUGAUCCAAAUACAGGGCUUUAUUGCUCUGCAGAAUCAGGGAAAUGGUAUUGUGUAUUGAUGAUUCUUCUUAGUGCAUGUCAUGUAUAAUUUUUUGUGUUUGUAGUAUCUUGAUUAACCAUCUGAAACAAGCCUUUAGAUGUGAAUGCUUUGCUCUUUUGUUUAAAUCCUAAUCCUAUUUUGGUUUUAGAUAUUUCUUAUACUUGUAUUUGGACUGUUUUCUUGCUGGGACUCUGAUUUUGAAAUUAUGUAUGGGUUUACAUGUAUGAAAUUUGCUUUGGUUUGGUAUGAUUUGUUUAAUUCUGUUUGGAUAAGCUGUUACCUGAGUUUGAUGUGGGUUUAUGCCGGUUCGAUAAUGAAGCACAAGUUUGCUUGGCCAUAAAAAAAAGAAAGGAUGGCAAUGAGGGAGCUGAAGUGUGAACAAAUUGAAGUGGUUGAAGGUCAUAAUUUUGGCUGAUUUUUCUUGGUUGGAAUGGAUUUGGGUAUUUCCUCUUGAAUUGUAAGGUUAUUAAUAGAAAGCGGCACAUUGUUUCUGCACGGGUAAACAUAUCAACAAGAACACGAGCAUUUUGUUGAGACGUAGGACUGACUGCCUGUUGUUCUCCUACAGGAACAAGAGUAAGUGAAUUAUUUGCUUUUCGUAUAAAUGGGACCAGAAAACGUGAACAAGCCCAUUAGUGCAAGUUUGCAAUGAACCAAACAAGCCAACAAGGUGCUUCAUAUGAUUGCGGCUGACAUGUUUCAAGGCCAUCCAAUUAGUGAAAGGAAGCUAAAGGAACUUCUUGGUCACACUCCAUCUCAAGUAUUUGCUGGUGCUGAUCUGCUUGGUUGUUUAGUAGCAUGCUUAUGCUGUCAAGGUGUUGUUUUGGUGGGUUAGAUGAUUCUGCCAUGUUUCCCCUUUUUGGAUCAAACUGAUGGAAUACUGAUUGAUAUAACAUACUAAUUGCUCUGGAAA